UCCCUGGUGGUCCAGUGGUUAGGACUCUGUGCCCUGACUGCCGAGGUCACGGGUUCAAUCCCCGGUUGGGGAA